CUCUCAAUUGAAAGCAAUAAAGAAGGUACAUAGGGAAGUGGAAAGAAAUUACUGAAAAAAAUUGUAGCCCUUCCUUCCAAGAGAGAGGCUUAUUAAUUACAGCAUCCUCAGUGGGUGAUAAGUGUCGUGCAAUCUUGCAAAUAUCUGAACAUCAUUGAGAGCAGAUAUAUGAUGCCCUAUGGGGGAAAUCAGAAACUACUUAUGCAGAGAGUAACAGAAUGACAUACAUCACCAGAAGAUAUAGAUUGCUUUGCCAGGCCAAAGGGUAUUUAUCACAUCUAGUACCAAGAAUCUGAUGUCAACAUCACACAAGAUCUGUCAGCUACCAAAGAAAGGAGAAGAAAACCUGGAAUAUAGAGGAAAAAACUUACAACUCAGAGUCAUCUCUGCAGAGAAACUAAAUAUAAUCUGAAAGAAGAAAAAAUGGACUUAAAGAUGACUAUCAGGAAUUCCUAAGGAAAAGUCAGAAACUUUGAAAUGUCUACACAGGUUCUUCCAACUUGUGCCAAGACUGUAACCAGCCAGCCACAUGCCCACCUCUGUUUCCUGUACUGGGUUUGUGCAUAGAGAGGAGGAUACUAUGUGAUACUGUGCCUUUGCAACUGGCACAGAGAUACAGAGCCAAAUCUUCCAGUUCUGUGAAACCUAUCUUGAGAAUUGAGGAUGAGUAUG